CGCGUAGGCGGUCAUGCAAGUCAGGUGUGAAAUCCCCAGGCUUAACCUGGGAACUGCGCUUGAAACUGCAUAGCUUGAGGCCGGGAGAGGAAAGUGGAAUUCCUGGUGUAGCGGUGAAAUGCGUAGAUAUCAGGAGGAACACCGGUGGCGAAGGCGGCUUUCUGGACCGGUUCUGACGCUGAAGCGCGAAAGCGUGGGAGCAAACGG
rnacentral:rRNA from 1 species